AUCCUGGCUCAGGUUGAACGCUGGCGGCAUGCCUUACACAUGCAAGUCGAACGGCAGCACGGGAGCAAUCCUGGUGGCGAGUGGCGAACGGGUGAGUAAUGUGUCGGAACGUACCUUUCAGUGGGGGAUAACGUAGCGAAAGUUACGCUAAUACCGCAUAUUCUGUGAGCAGGAAAGCAGGGGAUCGCAAGACCUUGCGCUGAUUGAGCGGCCGAUAUCAGAUUAGCUAGUUGGUGAGGUAAAGGCUCACCAAGGCGACGAUCUGUAGCGGGUCUGAGAGGAUGAUCCGCCACACUGGAACUGAGACACGGUCCAGACUCCUACGGGAGGCAGCAGUGGGGAAUAUUGCGCAAUGGGGGAAACCCUGACGCAGCCAUGCCGCGUGUGUGAUGAAGGCCCUCGGGUCGUAAAGCACUGUCGGGAGGGACGAAGAUCUGACGGUACCUCGCAAGAAAGCACCGGCUAACUCCGUG
rnacentral:rRNA from 1 species